rnacentral:rRNA from 1 species
CAAGACAGGCGUGAAAUCCCGGGCUUACCUGGGACUGGCGCGUGUGACUGUAUAGCUAGAGGUGUGUCAGAGGGGGGUAGAAUUCACGUGUAGCAGUGAAAUGCGUAGAUAUGUGGAGGGAUUCCCAAUGGCGAAGGCAGCCCCCUGGGAUAACACUGACGCUCAUGCACGAAAGCGUGGGGAGCAGACAGGAUUAGAUACCCUGGUAGUCCACGCCAUAAACGAUGCUGACUAGUUGUUCGGGAUUUACAUCCUGAGUAACGUAGCUAACGCGUGAAGUCAGCCGCCUGGGGAGUACGGUCGCAAGAUUAAAACUCAAAGGAAUUGACGGGGACCCGCACAAGCGGUGGAUGAUGUGGAUUAAUUCGAUGCAACGCGAAAAACCUUACCUACCCUUGACAUGUCACUAACGAAGUAGAGAUACAUUAGGUGCUCGUAAGAGAAAGUGAACACAGGUGCUGCAUGGCUGUCGUCAGCUCGUGUCGUGAGAUGUUGGGUUAAGUCCCGCAACGAGCGCAACCCUUGUCUUUAGUUGCUACGCAAGAGCACUCUAAAGAGACUGCCGGUGACAAACCGGAGGAAGGUGGGGAUGACGUCAAGUCCUCAUGGCCCUUAUGGGUAGGGCUUCACACGUCAUACAAUGGUGCAUACAGAGGGUUGCCAACCCGCGAGGGGGAGCUAAUCUCAGAAAAUGCAUCGUAGUCCGGAUCGUAGUCUGCAACUCAACUACGUGAAGCUGGAAUCGCUAGUAAUCGCGGAUCAGAAUGUCGCGGUGAAUACGUUCCCGGGUCUUGUACACACCGCCCGUCAUACCAUGGGAGUGGGUUUUGCCAGAAGCCGUUAGCCUAACCGCAAGGAGGGCGACUGCCACGGCAGGGUUCAUGACUGGGGUAAAGUCGUAACAAGGUAACC